rnacentral:rRNA from 1 species
GACGAACGCUGGCGGCGUGCUUAACACAUGCCGGUCGAACGGAAAGGCCCUGCUUUUGUGGGGUGCUCGAGUGGCGAACGGGUGAGUAACACGUGAGUAACCUGCCCUUGACUUUGGGAUAACUUCAGGAAACUGGGGCUAAUACCGGAUAGGAGCUCCUGCUGCAUGGUGGGGGUUGGAAAGUUUCGGCGGUUGGGGAUGGACUCGCGGCUUAUCAGCUUGUUGGUGGGGUAGUGGCUUACCAAGGCUUUGACGGGUAGCCGGCCUGGGAGGGUGACCGGCCACAUUGGGACUGAGAUACGGCCCAGACUCCUACGGGAGGCAGCAGUGGGGAAUAUGGCACAAUGGGCGGAAGCCUGAUGCAGCAGCCCCGCGUGCGGGAAGACGGCCUUCGGGUUGUAAACCGCUUUCGCCUGUGACGAAGCGUGAGUGACGGUAAUGGGUAAAGAAGCACCGGCUAACUACGUG